rnacentral:misc_RNA from 1 species
UGGUUCUGGCAUCGAUGAAGAACGCAGCGAAAUGCGAUAAGUAAUGUGAAUUGCAGAAUUCAGUGAAUCAUCGAAUCUUUGAACGCACAUUGCGCCCAUUAGUAUUCUAUUGGGCAUGCCUGUUCGAGCGUCAUUUCAACCCUUAAGCCUAGCUUAGUGUUGGGAAUCUACUGCCCGGGAGGAGCUACCCUGUAGCGCCUACCCUGUAGUUCCCGAAAAUCAACGGCGGAUUCGCAGUGUCCUCUGAGCGUAGUAAUCUUUUUCUCGCUUCUGUCAGGUGCUGUGAGCCUUGCCGCUAAACCCCAAAUUUUAAAUGGUUGACCUCGGAUCAGGUAGGAAUACCCGCUGA